CUACGUCACCUCCGAUUCCUCAAGCGUCUGGACACAAACAGCGGAUGGAGAUGGAGAACAUGGUGUCUGAAACGGAAUCUUUAAAUUGAGGUUUUUAAUUUAAAGGACAGAUUACCAAAUAGGGCAAUCCUAUCUGGAAAAAAAACAACCAUGGAAGAAGCUUGGGAUUUUGAGUUUUUGUCCCGCAUUGCUGACAGCUGUCUGUCGUUUCUGUCCGAAUUUGUGGAGGACUGGCUAGCCAACGACAUGAGAGUCUCUAUAUUCAAAAUAUUACUCAGCUGGCUGAUUUUUAGUCUUAUUGCUAUUCAUUUUGCAUGGAAAGUCUACGGGAAUACAGUAAACGACAUGUAUUAUAGACAAGGAACGGGUCAGAACGGAGGCACACCAGAUACUGCUCCUCACCUGAGUGGAUGGUAGGUGUCCGAGCAGCCAUGUCACUUCAAACAGGUAGCCCACCCUCCUCAUGCUGUCAGGGAAAGCACGGCAGGAGACAAUCCGAAGGCUCACCGGGAUUGACAGGACAUGAUUUUUUAGACUUUAUCCAAAUGAGAGCCAAACUGUUUAUCAUGACGCCUUCAGUUUCCAGUUGUCUGAAAAGCAUCAUCAUCACUGCACCCAAGACUGAUUCAUCUUCUGGAGAAUGCCCAGUACUACCAAUGUCACACUGUUAUCCACUGACAUCUGUGAGGUGUUUACAGGUUGUCAGCAUUGGUCACUGAGGAGAACCAUACUGUGCACAUUCCACACUUUGUUAGGUGGACGAUGCCUUAUCCUUACUCUAUGGAUAAAUGAAAAGAUGUUUUCCAUAUCUUUUAAUUAACUACAGUGAUGGUAUGCGAAAGGCAGAUAGGUUUGGAAUUGAGAGUUGGGGGUAUAAGCAGGGUUUUGGCAAACAGUUUUUAAUCUGAGACUGUGAGUAAUAUUAUUGCACUUGAUUUGAAUGUUUGGUCAUUAAUGCUCAUGCCAUGACCCUCCAGACCUCAUUGAACGGUUGUCAGCAGAAGGGUUUUCAUGGUAUGCCUGCCUGAAGUCAGGUGAACAAUAGCUAUAUGUAAUGAGUUUGGGUAUAAUGAGACAUCCCUUGUCAUGGACAGCAUAUCCUUAAUAUCUACUGUUUCAUAAGUGAUGCUCACUAUCGAGAGACAGAUUCAUGAGUAAUAUUUGAUGAAAUCUAGAUGUGACAUGAUUUUUGUGGCACACUUCUUGUCUGACAAGAACAGUAUGAAUGCAAAAUUAACUCUAAAGUUAUUAAACUACAAUGUGGUCUGGAGUGAAUAUGGCAAUUCAGAAUUUUCUGCAAUAUAUUGUGUUUAGUAAUCCACCCCCCAUGUUAUUCAGCAGAGCUUGAGCAGGUUGCAGUGCAGUGUCAGAUCGGCUUAAGCUGGAGUACAGCAAAUAAACUUGAUUAUUUUUAUAAU